rnacentral:rRNA from 1 species
CUGCCCGGUGCUGGAAGGUUAAGGAAGCUUGUUCGGAGCAAUCCAAAGCUUGUGACCGAAGCCCCAGUAAACGGCGGCCGUAACUAUAACGGUCCUAAGGUAGCGAAAUUCCUUGUCGGGUAAGUUCCGACCUGCACGAAUGGUCUAAUGAGUUGAACACUGUCUCCUCCGCGAGCCCAGUGAAAUUGUAGUAUCGGUGAAGAUGCCGGUUACCCGCCACGGGACGAAAAGACCCCGUGAACCUUCACUACAACUUUACAUUGAUUUUGAGUAACAGAUGUGUAGCAUAGUUGGGAGACUAUGAAGCCUGUACGCCAGUAUGGGUGGAGUCACCGUUGAAAUACCAACCUUCUGUUACUUAGAGUCUAACCCCUACGGGGGGACAUUGUAUGGUGGGUAGUUUGACUGGGGUGGUCGCCUCCUAAAAAGUAACGGAGGCUCGCAAAGGUGCCCUCAGUACGGUUGGUAAUCGUACGUAGAGCGUAUUAGUAUAAGGGUGCUUGACUGUGAGGCUGACCAGCCGAGCAGGUGCGAAAGCAGGCUAAAGUGAUCCGGUGAUUCUGUAUGGAAGGGUCAUCGCUCAAAGGAUAAAAGGUACUCCGGGGAUAACAGGCUGAUACCGCCCAAGAGUUCAUAUCGACGGCGGUGUUUGGCACCUCGAUGUCGGCUCAUCUCAUCCUGGGGCUGUAGCCGGUCCCAAGGGUAUGGCUGUUCGCCAUUUAAAGAGGUACGUGAGCUGGGUUUAAAACGUCGUGAGACAGUUUGGUCCCUAUCUUCCGUGGGCGCUGCAAGAUUGAGAGAGCCUGCUCCUAGUACGAGAGGACCGGAGUGGACGCACCUCUGGUGUACCGGUUGUCACGCCAGUGGCAUUGCCGGGUAGCUAAGUGCGGAAGAGAUAACCGCUGAAAGCAUCUAAGCGGGAAACUCGUCUCAAGAUGAGUCUUGCCGGGGCCUAGAGCCCCCUGAAGGGUCGUUCGAGACCAGGACGUUGAUAGGCUGGGUGUGGAAGUGCAGUAAUGCAUUAAGCUAACCAGUACUAAUUGCUCGUGAGGCGGACCACC